UACGUAGGGUCCGAGCGUUGUCCGGAAUUAUUGGGCGUAAAGGGCUCGUAGGCGGUUUGUCACGUCGGGAGUGAAAUCUUACAGCUUAACUGUGAGCUUGCUUUCGAUACGGGCAGACUUGAGGCAUUCAGGGGAGAACGGAAUUCCUGGUGUAGCGGUGAAAUGCGCAGAUAUCAGGAGGAACACCGGUGGCGAAGGCGGUUCUCUGGGAAUGUACUGACGCUGAGGCGCGACAGCGUGGGGAGCAAACAGG
rnacentral:rRNA from 1 species